AAGGAACAAUAUCAGGAAUUUUACAAAAAGACCUUCAAUGAAUUUUUGGAUCCACUCACCUAUACCCAUUUCACUACAGAGGGUGAGGUGGAGUUUAGAAGUGUGCUCUAUAUUCCUGGAAUGGCUCCUCUUAACAAUGAAGAUGUCAUCAAUCCCAAGACAAAAAAUAUCCGUUUA